CUACGGGCGGCUCCAGUGAGGAAUAUUGCACAAUGGGGGGAGCCCUGAUGCAGCAACGCCGCGUGGAGGAUGACGCAUUUCGGUGUGUAAACUCCUUUUAUAUGUCAAGAAAAUGACGGUAGCAUAUGAAUAAGCACCGGCUAACUCCGUGCCAGCAGCCGCGGUAAUACGGAGGGUGCAAGCGUUACUCGGAAUCACUGGGCGUAAAGGACGCGUAGGCGGGGUGGAAAGUCAGGUGUGAAAUCCUACAGCUUAACUGUAGAACUGCACUUGAAACUUCUAAUCUAGAGUAUGGGAGGGGGAGAUGGAAUUAGUGGUGUAGGGGUAAAAUCCGUAGAUAUCACUAGGAAUACCUAAAGCGAAGGCGAUCUCCUGGAACAUUACUGACGCUAAGGCGUGAAAGCGUGGGGAGCAAACAGGAUUAGAUACCCCAGUAGUC
rnacentral:rRNA from 1 species